rnacentral:rRNA from 1 species
UACGUAGGGGGCAAGCGUUAUCCGGAUUUACUGGGUGUAAAGGGAGCGUAGACGGCGAAUAAAGUCUGAAGUGAAAUCCCGCAGCUCAACUGCGGAGUUGCUUUGGAAACUUAUAAGCUGGAGUGUCGGAGGGGUAAGCGGAAUUCCCAGUGUAGCGGUGAAAUGCGUAGAUAUUGGGAGGAACACCGGAGGCGAAGGCGGCUUACUGGAAGAUAACUGACGUUGAGGCUCGAAGGCGUGGGUAGCAAACAGG